rnacentral:rRNA from 1 species
CCAAAAACAUCGCCUCUUGUGAAAUAAAAAUAAGAGGUCCCACCUGCCCUGUGACAUAUGUUUAACGGCCGCGGUAUUUUGACCGUGCAAAGGUAGCGCAAUCACUUGUCUUUUAAAUGAAGACCUGUAUGAAUGGUAUAACGAAGGCUUAGCUGUCUCCUUUCCCCGGUCAAUGAAAUUGAUCUCCCCGUGCAGAAGCGGGGAUAAAAACAUAAGACGAGAAGACCCUAUGGAGCUUAAGACAAAACAGUAGUCCAUAUAAAGUAACUUCAAAUAAAAGGUUAUAUUUUUUGCCCCCUGCUUGAAUGUCUUUGGUUGGGGCGACCGCGGGGAAAUAAAUAACCCCCAUGUGGAUUGAGAGAACCUCUCCCAAAACCAAGAGUCACCACUCUAAGUAACAGAACCUCUGACCAAAAUGAUCCGGUAAACACCGAUCAACGAACCGAGUUACCCUAGGGAUAACAGCGCAAUCCCCUUCCAGAGCCCAUAUCGACAAGGGGGUUUACGACCUCGAUGUUGGAUCAGGACAUCCUAAUGGUGCAGCCGCUAUUAAGGGUUCGUUUGUUCAACGAUUAAAGUCCUACGUGAUCUGAGUUCAGACCG